ACACAAUAUGUAUAUAGGUUGAACUUGAUGGACUUUGGUCUUUUUUCAACCUUAUGAACUAUGCAUUUAAGCUACUAAAACAGGAAGGCAGUGAGGAAGCACUAAAAAGCUAUUGGGAAAAAAUUAAAAUAUGUAAAAAUCAGAUAAAAGCAGCAAAAGUGGAGACAGACUCAUUGCCAAAGAGAGUAAAACAAACCCCAAAAUGUUCUUUAACUAUAUAAAUAGUAAAAA